CCAAAACACCAAAACAAACAAGGGACUUAACUAUUCUUUGAUAAGACACUAACAAGGUCAUAAAAAUGGGCAGUGGAGUCAAUGAAACUAAACAAGACAUAAUUAAGUUGCUCCACAAUGAGAUUGUAUCAAAUUCAAAACAAUCUCCUAUUCCUAGUUAUUAUUGUCAAACGACUUAUUGCAGCUAUAGUGAGAAAGAGUUUCAAACAAUUGCCGACGAAAACCGCAACAAACUAAAGAAACACCCAUAAUCAAUGAUGGUGAACUUGGGAUUUAUAUUGAUUUAGCCAUUUUUUCAUGCUGAAAUUUCUUGCAGAUUAAAUGCUGCAAUAAAUUAUCCAUCAUUUCCUGAAGAGGGCUGCUAGCACGGAUAUAUCUCAGAAAGGGGCUGUAAAUUUUGUAGGAUACAACUUUAUUCUUUUCCUGAAUGUAUGCUGUAACUUAUUUAUUAGAUAAAUUUAACUUAGAACUGAUAGGUAAAAAGUUGUACUAAAAAUGCUAACUUAAUGGAAUAGAAAUAUAAUAAAUUAUGUAACCAAAAAAAAAUAUAUAAUAAAUUACAAGGCACAAGACUUGAUUGCUGUAUUACUAAAUUACAAUAUAUAGUUUUUUAGAUUAAUUAUUAUUUACAA
rnacentral:lncRNA from 1 species